rnacentral:tRNA from 1 species
ACUCGUUUAGCUUAAUUGGAUAAAGCAUCGAUCUUCUAAAUCGUUUAUUGUAGGUUCAAUUCCUCCAACGAGUA